GGGUUUCUUUCUAAUCAAAAGCCUUUGUGUUUUUCUGUUUUUAAAUUUAGAAAGCGUUGGACCCUGGCUGGCUAUUAUAAAGAUGUUACAAGCUAAUGCUGAGGCACAACAACAACAUAAAAAAGAAGGGGGAGAGAAGUAUUGCAUAAAAAGAGAUGAAGAAAUCCAGGUGGCGUAUGUUCAACCCGGUGAAUUUCUUAAUUCAGUCCAACUCAGUGCAGGUCUGCAAGUGGGCUGCAUUGGGCUGUGGUUUUCCCACUUUGUGUAGCUCAACCCCAAGCUGAUGUAUUUUGCCUUCCAUUUCCCGCUGUCAUUGGACUCCAUCUGUCCCAGAUGCCUCUUCUAAGAGUUGACCGUUAAAACACUAAGAUCAGACCCAAUAGCUGGUCGCUAUUUUAAUAAAGAUUUCCC
rnacentral:lncRNA from 1 species